AUUAAACGCUGGCGGCAUGCCUUACACAUGCAAGUCGAACGGCAGCACGGGGGCAACCCUGGUGGCGAGUGGCGAACGGGUGAGUAACGCAUCGGAACGUGCCCUGGAGUGGGGGAUAACGUAGCGAAAGUUACGCUAAUACCGCAUAUUCUGUGAGCAGGAAAGCAGGGGAUCGCAAGACCUUGCGCUCUGGGAGCGGCCGAUGUCGGAUUAGCUAGUUGGUGGGGUAAAGGCCUACCAAGGCGACGAUCCGUAGCGGGUCUGAGAGGAUGAUCCGCCACACUGGGACUGAGACACGGCCCAGACUCCUACGGGAGGCAGCAGUGGGGAAUUUUGGACAAUGGGCGCAAGCCUGAUCCAGCCAUGCCGCGUGAGUGAAGAAGGCC
rnacentral:rRNA from 1 species